CUAUUUAAAGAUGUUAGUUUGAUUCUGACUAUUUUAUUAAAUUUUAGGAAAUUGUACAUGUGAAUUUUUGAUAAAAAUUUAUUUUAUUAAUUGCAGUGCUUAAUAUUGAGUAUUAUGUUAAUAUAGACUUGGUUAUUCUUUUUAUUAUUGUAAAUGUUUGUGCCAGCAUACGCGGUUAUACAAUAAAUAUUAUUUAAUAUUUUUGGUUUAAUUGAAGUUAAUUUUUUUUUGUUGAGUUUAAUUUAUUUAUUUUUGGGUGAAAUUUUAAAUAUUUAUUAAUCUUUAUUAGGUUCUUUUAAAUAUAAAUUUUAAACUAGGAUUAGAUACCCUAUUAUUUUAUUCGUUAAUUUUUACCUGGGUAAUAAUAGAUAUAUUCUUUAAACCUAAAGAAUUUGGCGGUGUUUUAGUCUAUUCAGAGGAAUUUGUCCCGUAAUCGAUAGUCCUCGUUUUAAUCGUUCUUAAUUUUGUAAUCAGUAUGUAUACCGCCGUUAUCAGUUUAUAUUAUUAGAUUAAUAAUUUACUUUAUUCUAAAUUAAGAUUUAUUUCAGGUCAAGGUGCAGUUUAUAGUUAAGUGGAGAUGGAUUACAUUAUUAUUUAAGUAUUACGGAUUAUUUAUUUAAAUUUUAUUAUGAAGGUGGAUUUGUUGGUAAUUUUAUUUAUAUUGUUAUUUUGAUUUUAGCUCUAAAAUGAGUACAUAUCGCCCGUCACUCUCAAUAUAUUUGAGAUAAGUCGUAACAAAGUAGAUGUACUGGAAAGUGUAUCUAGGAUUAUAAUAUU
rnacentral:ncRNA from 1 species